UCAGACGGCCGGGCGGUCGCGGCGGGGCUUGCUCCGUCGAGGAAAGUCCGGGCUCCACGGUGAAAAGGCGGCGGGUAACGCCCGCCCGGGGUGACCCGAGGGAUAGCGCCACAGAAAGCAAACCUCCUCCCUUGCGAGGGGGGGAAGGGUGAAAGGGUGGGGUAAGAGCCCACCGCGGGACUGGCAACAGGACCGGCAUGGCAAGCCCCGCCUGGAGCAAGACCGAAUAGGGAUGUCGCGUGAGCCUCGGCUCACAGGGCUCACCGCCCGAGAGCAUCCGGGUAGGUCGCGAGAACCGGUCAGCAAUGGCCGGUCCAGAGGAAUGAUCGUCACCCGCUUGCGGGAACAGAACCCGGCUUACAGGCCGUCUGACCUU
rnacentral:RNase_P_RNA from 1 species